UACGGAGGAUGCAAGCGUUAUCCGGAUUUAUUGGGUUUAAAGGGUGCGUAGGCGGAGACUUAGGCGUGAGGUGAAAUGCCCGGGCUCAACCUGGGAACUGCCUCGCGAACUGGGUUUCUGGAAUGCCCCUGCCGUGUGAGGAAUGUGUGGUGUAGCGGUGAAAUGCAUAGAGAUCACACAGAACACCGAUUGCGAAGGCAUCUCACGAAGGGGCGAUUGACGCUGAGGCACGAAAGCGUGGGGAUCAAAC
rnacentral:rRNA from 1 species